GGCAGCGUAGCUCAGAGGCAGAGCAGGGGCUUCAUAAGCCCUGUGUCGUGGGUUCGAAUCCCUCCGCUGCCA
rnacentral:tRNA from 1 species